GCGGGCGUAGCUCAGCUUGGAUAGAGCGCUUCCCUGUCACGGAAGAGGUCGCCGGUUCGAGCCCGGUCGCCCGCG
rnacentral:tRNA from 1 species